ACCCAGACUCCUACGGGAGGCAGCAGUGGGGAAUAUUGCGCAAUGGGCGAAAGCCUGACGCAGCGACGCCGCGUGAGGGAUGAAGGUCUUCGGAUCGUAAACCUCUGUCAGCAGGGAAGAACGGUCACUGUGCUAAUCAGCAGUGAAUUGACGGUACCUGCAAAGGAAGCACCGGCUAACUACGUGCCAGCAGCCGCGGUAAUACGUAGGGGGCAAGCGUUAUCCGGAUUUACUGGGUGUAAAGGGAGCGUAGACGGAUGGAUAAGUCUGAAGUGAAAGCCCGCGGCUCAACUGCGGGACUGCUUUGGAAACUGUGCAUCUUGAGUACGGGAGGGGCAGGCGGAAUUCCUGGUGUAGCGGUGAAAUGCGUAGAUAUCAGGAGGAACACCGGCGGCGAAGGCGGCCUGCUGGACCGAAACUGACGUUGAGGCUCGAAAGCGUGGGGAGCAAACAGGAUUAGAUACCCCAGUAU
rnacentral:rRNA from 1 species